GGCCAGACUCCUACGGGAGGCAGCAGUGAGGAAUAUUGGUCAAUGGGCGGGAGCCUGAACCAGCCAAGUCGCGUGAAGGAUGAAGGAUCUAUGGUUUGUAAACUUCUUUUAUAUGGGAAUAAAGUGAGGAACGUGUUCCUUUUUGUAUGUACCAUAUGAAUAAGCAUCGGCUAACUCCGUGCCAGCAGCCGCGGUAAUACGGAGGAUGCGAGCGUUAUCCGGAUUUAUUGGGUUUAAAGGGUGCGUAGGUGGUUAAUUAAGUCAGCGGUGAAAGUUUGUGGCUCAACCCCGUACUGCCGUUGAAACUGCAUCCCUUGAGUGCGCGAGAAGUAUGCGGAAUGCGUGGUGUAGCGGUGAAAUGCAUAGAUAUCACGCAGAACUCCGAUUGCGAAGGCAGCAUACCGGCGCGCAACUGACGCUCAUGCACGAAAGCGUGGGUAUCGAACAGGAUUAGAUACCCUUGUAA
rnacentral:rRNA from 1 species